rnacentral:rRNA from 1 species
UCGCAUCUGUGCAUGCAGCAUAUCAAUAAGCGGAGGAAAAGAAACUAACAAGGAUUCCCUCAGUAACGGCGAGUGAAGCGGGAAGAGCUCAAAUUUGAAAUCUUGAAAGGUCACCUUUCACGAAUUGUAGUUUAAAGAAGUGUUUUCUGUUACGAUCGUAAUAUAAGUUCUUUGGAAUAGGACAUCACAGAGGGUGAGAAUCCCGUCUAUGAUUGCGAUUUGUAGCUUUGUGAUACACUUUCAAAGAGUCGGGUUGUUUGGGAAUGCAGCCCAAAACGGGAGGUAAAUUUCUUCUAAGGCUAAAUAUUGGCGAGAGACCGAUAGCGAACAAGUACCGUGAGGGAAAGAUGAAAAGAACUUUGAAAAGAGAGUUAAACAGUACGUGAAAUUGUCAAAAGGGAAGCGUUUAACACCAGUGUUGUUUUCUGAAAAUCAACCUCUGUUAGCUUUAUGCAUGUUUGUUUAGACCUAAUCAGCUAUCUUGCAUGUUCUAUUGUUUGCAGUGGUGCACUUUUCAGUUUACAGGUCAACAUCAGUUUUUUUUACCGUAAAAAAGUUAAAGAAAGGUAGCUCAUGGCUCCGGUCGUGAGUGUUAUAGUCUUUUUCCUAUGCGGUAGGAGAGACUGAGGUCUGCAGUGUAGGCUAUUUGGCUAGAUACUCAGGUGCUAUGUGAUACCAUUUCAUAAACAACUUGUUGAUUAUGUUUUGUCUAUUGCAUACUCGCUUGUACUAUCAUACCUACGCUUAGGAUGUUGACGAUCAGCUGAGCGCG